rnacentral:sRNA from 1 species
CACGGCUCAUCCCGCGGGCCGUUUUGUUUUCGCCGACAGAACACCCCAAGCGCCUAACAUCCAUUCUUUUUUGCCAUAAGGAGGCAAAUCUAAUGUCUGAGCGCAUCGUCGGCACGGUCAAGUGGUUCAACAGCGGCAAGGGCUACGGCUUCAUUGCCCGCGAAGGUGGAGAGGACGUGUUCGUCCACUUCUCCGCCAUCCAGGGUGAUGGUUACCGCAACCUGGAAGAGGGCCAGAAGGUGGAGUUCUCCGUCACCAAAGGCCCCAAGGGCCUGCAGGCCGCUGACGUCGUCAAGCUGUAAAGCCAAACGUCGCCAACCCCAAAACCCCGUCGCAUGCGCGGCGGGGUUUUUU